rnacentral:rRNA from 1 species
AACGAACGCUGGCGGCGUGCCUAACACAUGCAAGUCGAGCGAGAACGGGGGGGCAACCCCCUAGUACAGCGGCGCACGGGUGAGUAACACGUAGGUACCUACCUCCGAGCUUGGGAUAACCUGCCGAAAGGUGGGCUAAUACCGGAUAUGACCACGGGAGUCUCGGCUCCUGCGGUGAAAGGUGGCCUCUGCUUGCAAGCUACCACUCAGAGAUGGGCCUGCGCGCCAUUAGCUAGUUGGCGGGGUAACGGCCCACCAAGGCUAUGAUGGCUAGCUGGUCUGAGAGGAUGAUCAGCCACACUGGGACUGAGACACGGCCAGACUCCUACGGAGGCAGCAGUGGGAAUUUUGGACAAUGGGGCAACCC